AAACGUCCGGUAAUUAACUACCGCAUACCGCCCGUACGGGGAAAGCCGGGGAUCUUCGGACCUGGCGCUAGUAGAUGAGCCCGCGUGAGAUUAGCUUGUUGGUGGGGUAAUGGCCUACCAAGGCAACGAUCUCUAGCUGGUCUGAGAGGACGAUCAGCCACACUGGGACUGAGACACGGCCCAGACUCCUACGGGAGGCAGCAGUGGGGAAUAUUGGACAAUGGGCGAAAGCCUGAUCCAGCAAUGCCGCGUGUGUGAAGAAGGCCUGAGGGUUGUAAAGCACUUUCAAUCGUGAAGAAAAGUUGCAGGCUAAUACCCUGUGACCUUGACGUUAACGAUACAAGAAGCACCGGCUAACUCCGUG
rnacentral:rRNA from 1 species